GGCCAGACACUUUCCUUGGACAAACCAACUCCCUGGGAAAAGUGAGGUGGAUGAGAAUUUAGGAACAGCAUGGAAUAAAACCAAAGAUUUGAUGCCUCUAAGGAAAAGCCUUCCUCAGAUGGUCAGAACUACAUAUCUAAAAGUUUCAGACUGGCUCUUUACUUGUGAUUGUUCAGCAUGCAAGCUUGCCAAGCUGAAGUGCAAGCUUUCCACCUAGAAAAGAAAUUAUAACAACCUAUUAAUUCCUCAAGUUCAUUCAUCUCAAAGUGCAAGUGUAAGAACUGGACCUAUCUCCCCCAAGGGAGGAGACUGAAUCAGGAACUACACUCAGACUGAAUUUGAUCUGAUCUGAAAGGUGAUUUAAGUGCAGCACUCUGUACAGAAAAACACAACUUCAUAUUACCUGAGAAUUUGAGGGGUCCAGAAACUAAUUCUAAUUCCAGAAUUAAUGUGAAUGUCCUUUUUGUACAUUCAGUCCACCAGAGCAGUUAAAAUCAAGAAGAUGUACUCUAAUAAGAACAGUGGGCCAUUUCUCUGGACUUUGCAACCUUCCACAUUAUGCAUGAAUCUAUCCUGCAGCCAUUUGGAGAAGCACUGGGAGCAAAUGAAUUAUGAGUCAUGGGAAGAAGAAAAGACAUGUCACAAAUAUUGAAAUUAAAUGCAAAAGAAAAUGACAAAUACUGGAAAUGUGAGCUGCCUAACAAGCGACAGAUAGUAAAACAUGGCAAAUGCUGGAAAUGGCAAGUAAUACAAGAAGACAAGUACUGGGAAGAAAACACAGUAAAAUAAAAGAAUGAAAACAUGUACAGAACUAAUGGUAUCAUUGAUCCUAAAGAAUUUUGAAAAGCACGGGCUUUUGAAAAUAUAUGCAGAAAAAGAAAAUAAGAAUAUUUAAAAUGAGCUGGAAAAUAUACAUCUGAGAAGUUGCUGCAGCAUAGUAUGAACUUCCUUCUGAAUAGCAACUCUGAUUAUCUAUUUCAAUAACAAGAAGGGCAGUGAUUAAUGAAAAUUCUGCAUGUGGGAUAUGAUUAGGGAAGAGAAACCCAGCUUUUCCAAUAAAAGCAAGAUCUGUCCAUACGAGCGACAUCAAGGCUGAGCUGUGACUCACCAGCCAGAGAGGGAAGAGUGAGGAAUGAAAAAGAAGUGGCUCAUCUGUUGGAAGCGAAUUGCCGGAAAUCAGUGCUCCAGGACUGGAUCUGUCAUCUACAUGAUGUAUGAGCCUUCAGAGGCAGAGGCAGAUGUCUGCUGAAGAUACCCACAAAUAGCUAUUCUAAAUUAGUUUGAUGGUAGAAGAGCACAACAAUUCAGCAUUUCAGGACUGCCUAAUCACAGCCCACCCACGUGAUGAUCCUUGGGCAAUAUCUUUAUCGUGAGUCUGCUUUGUUCAUCCUGGGUAAAAUGGUUUGGAGCAGAAAAGGUCCUGUCAAUUCCAUACCUACUUACAGGAAGACUGCUGUAAGACAACUACAGUGGUUAUACAAUGUCUAUAGGACUCAUUACAUGGAUGAAGUACACAGCCACACACACUUGUUCUCUGCUGCAAGGCUCAGAUCUACCUGAGUUUCGAGGGGUCCUCAUUUGACUUCUAAAUUUAAAGCAUUCCUCUUUUCCAGGCAUCUGGAGAGGCAGAAGAAUAUUGAUUUUUACCAUGUUUCUCAUCAGGAAGACUUGUCCUUCAAGAGAUGUGUUUCAUGAAACCGCCACAGUACUUAACACCUUUCCCUCAGCGGCUGUUCUUUUGCUGUUCUGCCAGUAAGAAGUAAGAUGGAAAAUGCAGGAAAAAGAAAAAAAAAAUCUCACUCUUCAGGAUAUGUCUUCUUUAGCAAAGGCAGAUCAAGCUUUCUCGUACAAGCUUUGGCACUAAGGGGAGGAGAAGGGCAGAGCUAAAUAAGGUUCCCAGGAGCCUGAGCUAUGCUGAGAGAGAACAAAUUGUACUGACAGGUGACUACUCCUCAGGACUUCAUGCAUUUUCUGAAGAGGCCACAAAAACCAUAGCAUCAUAGAAUCAUAAAAUCUCAGAAUCAUAGAAUAUGUUGAGUUGGAAGGGACCUACAAGGAUAAUCGAGUCCAACUCCUGGAUACACACAGGACAACCCAA